UUAGCUCAAAGUGUUCGGCCGGCAGCACGAGGCUUUUUUACGGUUAACCUGUGUCAUCAUCGGUUGAAACGAAACCGGCAUUUAAUGGUUUUUGGAAAUAAUUUUGUUACUUCACUGCGAGACUAGGAUAUUGAUCCUCAUCAAAACAUGCCUUCCAGUCAGCCUCUACCUCCCAAAGAAAAUGCCCUGUUUAAAAGAAUUCUGAAAAGUUACGAACAAAAGCAGUAUAAAAAUGGUCUUAAGUUUGCCAAACAGAUUCUCAGCAAUCCAAAGUUUGCUGAACAUGGAGAGACCCUGUCAAUGAAGGGAUUGACUCUUAAUUGUAUGGGAAGGAAGGAAGAGGCUUAUGAACAUGUGCGAAGAGGUCUCCGUAAUGAUCUAAUGUCUCAUGUCUGUUGGCAUGUGUAUGGGCUACUACAGAGAUCAGAUAAAAAGUAUGACGAGGCAAUAAAAUGCUAUAGGAAUGCAUUGAAAUGGGAUAAAGACAAUGUUCAAAUUCUGAGGGAUUUGUCACUUCUUCAAAUCCAGAUGCGAGAUCUUGAAGGAUACAGAGAUACCAGGUACUCUCUCUUGAGAUUACGUCCUGGUCAACGAGCUUCAUGGAUAGGGUUUGCCAUGGCUUACCACCUUCUUCAUGAUUAUGACAAUGCUCUGCAAGUUUUGGAAGAUUUCAGAAAAACUCUUACAAAAUCUAGCUAUGACUAUGAGCAGAGUGAGCUUUUACUCUACAUGCAUCAAGUGAUGUUUGAAGGUGGUCUUUAUCAAAAGUCACUGUCUCAUCUACAACAAUUUGAAGACCAAAUUUGUGAUAAGUUGAGUCUAAUGGAAGCCAGAGCUCAACUCUACCUCAAGCUCGAUCGUCUGAAAGAGGCUGAAGAAGAAUACCGUAAAUUGUUAAAACGCAAUCCAGACAAUCGGCAGUAUUACUUUGGACUGGAAGAAGCUCGUGGAUUAACUACCGAAGCUGAAAAGCUGCAGCUCUACGCUGAGCUUCGCGAGUCUUUCCCGCGAGCUGCGUUGGCCCGAAGAAUACCAUUGAACUAUGCCAGUGGGGAAAUUUUCCGCAUUCUAGUAGACCAAUAUCUCCGUCGGGCACUGCACAAAGGCGCUCCUCCCUUAUUCGUAGAUUUACGUUCGCUCUACACACAACCGGGCAAGGCGACCGUCAUCGAAGAACUUUUACUUGGCUACAUAGCUAGUUUAACUAAAUGUGAACGAUUCGACGAACAAGAUGUGAAGGACAGUCCAGCAGAACCAGCUUCAGCUAUUCUGUGGACCUACUAUUAUCUAGCUCAGCAUUACGACUUCCAUAAGGAUUCCGCUAAAGCAAUGCAUUAUAUAAAUUUGGCUAUAGAACACACUCCCACGCUGAUCGAGCUCUAUGUGACAAAAGGGCGGUUAUAUAAGCAUGCUGGAAAUCCGAUCGAAGCAUACCGUUGCUUAGAUGAGGCUCAGUCUUUAGACACUGCUGAUCGGUAUAUCAAUUCAAAAUGCGCGAAGUAUAUGCUACGGGCUAACCUUAUCGACGAAGCAGAAAUGACGUGCUCAAAAUUUACAAGGGAAGGAGUAUCAGCUAUGGAAAACCUGAAUGAAAUGCAGUGCAUGUGGUUCCAAACCGAAUGCGCGGUGGCUUAUCAACGCAUGGGGCAGUGGGGAGACUCACUGAAAAAGUGUCAUGAAAUAGAAAGACAUUUUGUCGAAAUCAUCGAAGACCAGUUCGAUUUCCAUACGUAUUGUAUGCGAAAAAUGACACUGCGAGCUUAUGUUGGUCUUCUUCGCCUGGAAGACGUCCUGCGCUCGCACCCUUUCUAUUUCAGCGCUGCACGAUGCGCCAUUGAAGUCUACUUACACUUGCACGAUCAUCCACUUCGCGACGAGCCAACGAAAGAGGAGCUUCAAGAGGCUUCGCUACCACCGGUGGAAUUGAAGAAAUUGCGUGCCCAACAACGUAAGGCUGCAAAACGAGCCGAACUGGAGAAGCAAGAGAAGUUGCUUCAGCAGCAGCGUGAACAGCGUGAACGUGAACAACGCGAAAGGGAACAACGAGACCCGCACAGUCACCACCAGAAACGAGCCCACAAUCAACAAGAUAAAGAAGCCGAUGCUCCACCCGUCGACGACUUGCAACCCCACAAGUUGGCCAGGGUCGAAGACCCGCUCGAGCAAGCAAUCAAGUUUUUGCAGCCGUUGCAAGAAUGGGCCUCUAAUCGUAUCGAAACCCAUCUACUGGCUUUCGAAGUCUAUUUGAGAAAAGGCAAGCCACUUCUGAUGGUCCAAUCGGUAAAGCGUGCCUUAAAAGUUGAUCCUGACCAUCCGCAGUUGCAUUCGUGUCUCAUCCGAUUGCAUCGUUUCCUCACCAAUGGUGACCUACUCAGUGAAACCGUCUCGCACCCGGCCGUGGCAGCCGUGCUGAAUAGUGAAACGCAACCAUUAUUCCGUGACCACCAAGAGGCCGAACAGCUCAACAAAGAAUUCUUGGAGCAGAACAGCAACUCCCUCCCUCACCUUCUGCAAGGCGCCAAAAUGAUGUGCUUUCUGAAUCCCACUCGUGACGCAGAAGCAGUAUCCCUUGUCACCCGGCUUUGCGACGCCCAUCAGGGUGUAACGGUUCAGACUUGCAUAGACAUAUUGAAAGCGUUGCAAAAAGGCGAAUUCGGCGAAUCCGGUCGCAAGGAAAUCAGCAACUUCAAAGAACUAUGCCACCAGCGCAUGCCGCACGCCGUCGACUUUUUUUCUGGUCAACAGGUUGCUUUGACCACGAAUCACAAUCACGCGGUGGAAGAAUCAUUGACAAAUCACGUCUCGAAUUUAACAGUUGAAGACGGAACCAAUUGAACAGCACUUAAUUAAAUAAGAAUAUUAAAGUAAGAGCAACAUCAUUGAGAAAAAAUCUAGGGUGAAAAGAAACCAAUGCCCAGAAGCGGAAAUACUUUUGUCAUCUGCUAUUUACACGGAAAGUUCUGGGAUUUUCUUUAUAUAGAGAAAACCCUAAUCACAAACACCAGCCAUGGAACAAUUUAUUAUUCUUUUUUUUUUUUAUUAUUCUUUUUUUUUUCUGACAUUAAAGAGUCCUUUGUGUGCCUUGGCUGGAAGUGAAAGUCAGAAUAAUCGUUUUGAAACCAAUACAUUUUUCUCAAUUAAGUAAAAAAAAAUUAAAUUCCUAAUUGGUUUUUUUUUUUGUUCGCUUCAGAGUAAAGCUCUGUUUUGUAUCGGUAAUCUCUUAGUUGCUAACAAUUGAUUUCUAUUGUUUUCUUUUGUUUCCCUUCAUUUUGUCACCCCUUCCAUGAGAUGAGGAGUGAAUUGGCGCGUUUCUGGAUUAAGCAUGAAAGUUGUGUGUGAAGAGAUGAAUACACAGUGUAGAACCUUU
rnacentral:misc_RNA from 1 species